GGUGCGUUGGAUGAGUGGCUUAGUCACCGGUCUGCAAAACCGUUUACACCCGUUCGAAUCGGGUACGCACCU
rnacentral:tRNA from 1 species